rnacentral:rRNA from 1 species
GGAUGAGUUGCGAACGGGUGAGUAACGCGUAGGUAACCUGCCUUGUAGCGGGGGAUAACUAUUGGAAACGAUAGCUAAUACCGCAUAACAAUGGAUGACACAUGUCAUUUAUUUGAAAGGGGCAAUUGCUCCACUACAAGAUGGACCUGCGUUGUAUUAGCUAGUAGGUGAGGUAAUGGCUCACCUAGGCGACGAUACAUAGCCGACCUGAGAGGGUGAUCGGCCACACUGGGACUGAGACACGGCCCAGACUCCUACGGGAGGCAGCAGUAGGGAAUCUUCGGCAAUGGGGGCAACCCUGACCGAGCAACGCCGCGUGAGUGAAGAAGGUUUUCGGAUCGUAAAGCUCUGUUGUAAGUCAAGAACGGGUGUGAGAGUGGAAAGUUCACACUGUGACGGUAGCUUACCAGAAAGGGACGGCUAACUACGUGCCAGCAGCCGCGGUAAUACGUAGGUCCCGAGCGUUGUCCGGAUUUAUUGGGCGUAAAGCGAGCGCAGGCGGUUUGAUAAGUCUGAAGUUAAAGGCUGUGGCUCAACCAUAGUUCGCUUUGGAAACUGUCAAACUUGAGUGCAGAAGGGGAGAGUGGAAUUCCAUGUGUAGCGGUGAAAUGCGUAGAUAUAUGGAGGAACACCGGUGGCGAAAGCGGCUCUCUGGUCUGUAACUGACGCUGAGGCUCGAAAGCGUGGGGAGCGAACAGGAUUAGAUACCCUGGUAGUCCACGCCGUAAACGAUGAGUGCUAGGUGUUGGAUCCUUUCCGGGAUUCAGUGCCGCAGCUAACGCAUUAAGCACUCCGCCUGGGGAGUACGACCGCAAGGUUGAAACUCAAAGGAAUUGACGGGGGCCCGCACAAGCGGUGGAGCAUGUGGUUUAAUUCGAAGCAACGCGAAGAACCUUACCAGGUCUUGACAUCCCGAUGCUAUUUCUAGAGAUAGAAAGUUACUUCGGUACAUCGGUGACAGGUGGUGCAUGGUUGUCGUCAGCUCGUGUCGUGAGAUGUUGGGUUAAGUCCCGCAACGAGCGCAACCCCUAUUGUUAGUUGCCAUCAUUCAGUUGGGCACUCUAGCGAGACUGCCGGUAAUAAACCGGAGGAAGGUGGGGAUGACGUCAAAUCAUCAUGCCCCUUAUGACCUGGGCUACACACGUGCUACAAUGGUUGGUACAACGAGUUGCGAGUCGGUGACGGCGAGCUAAUCUCUUAAAGCCAAUCUCAGUUCGGAUUGUAGGCUGCAACUCGCCUACAUGAAGUCGGAAUCGCUAGUAAUCGCGGAUCAGCACGCCGCGGUGAAUACGUUCCCGGGCCUUGUACACACCGCCCGUCACACCACGAGAGUUUGU